UAAAUCGUUAUCUUUAUAUCUGCUAAACCCCACGUGAGUAGAUGUCGUGGACACCUUUGAUCAAUUUGUUGCUUUGUAAAGAUAAAUCGGAGCCACGUUUGUACUAAUUUGAUACCUCGGAUCAUAUUUGCUCGAUUUAAAAUUAACGUUAGGUUACUAACGGGAAUUAAUUAUGUGUCCAUGAUUUACAUAAAAUGAAGGAGUGUAUUAAUAAAUUGUGAAUUCAUAAAACAAAUUCCUAAAUCGUGGCCACGUCAAUUAGGUAUCCCUCUUUACAUUGCGCCUUCUAACUUACACGUUAAAAGCACACAGUUGUUCAUGAGGAUAACACGGAAGUUAUUGUUUGUAACUUUAAAAACACUGAAUUGUAUAAAAAGAUAAAAUAUCAAGGACACCAGGAGAAUUUACAGGGGUUAGAGGCCUAAUAGGCGGAUGAAUCCAUGACGCACCCUUAAGCACACCUAGAAGUGCCGCGCAGGCGCCAUCUCACACAUUAUUUUUAAGGAUGCAGCGCGAGCAGGCAUCUCUCAACUGGUGUGUGACCAGAGUUAUACUGUUCAGCUAGUCGCUAGUGAGAGUGUUUCAUUCCGAAGAAAUGCUGGUUCAAGUGGAGUGUAAAGGGAACCCGAAAUGGAUCCGAAUACCAGUGGAAAAAUGACUGUUUUGACUUCUGUGAAUUAAUUAAAGAAGCUCUAGCAAAGUUCAACUUGCCGCAUGGAGCCAAUGUGGUUCUUAAAGACUCUGCAGGAGUUGAUGCUGAUUUUUUUUGAUGAGCUUGUGAGAACAUCUAAGGUGUCCUUCAAAAUUUUGGAUUGUGAUACAGCAGAUAAUGUUCCACAAGCUGAGACCGAUUUCUCUGAGCCGUCAUGCCCCGAGUUGUCAUUUUCAUCAGUAAAAUCAGAAAGUUCAGAUUCCACAGUGAUUCCGCGAUCUUCAAAGGCACUGAUACAUGAUCCAGACAAAUCUUCACUCAUCCUUGAUUACUUUCCCCUAUUUUUGGAUACACCAGGCUUGAUUGACCAAGACUUUACUAUGCUUUUUGGAGAGGACAUUUCAAGCAAGUUUAUUGCAAAAUGGCCAACAUUCUACAAGCCAAGAAUAAUUGCUGACUGCAAAAACCUGCAUCAUGGUGCACAUGUGGAUGACCUUUUGUCUGCUCUGUAGGAGUCUGAUUAUGGAUGGGACAGUGAUGUGGCUGCUAUUCUCUUGCUCCUUCAUCUCUUGCCUCCAACUGUAAAAGGAAGGAAGACUGGGAAAAUCAGUGCAACAGAAGCAGCUGAUCAUGUUGUAAAGUUCAUGAAGGUGGGGACAAGCAUCAAGGCAUUUCUUGAGCGAGUUGGAUCUACACAGCCCUUCCUCCUCUGUGUUGGAGGAAAGAGGAGUAGCAUUCAGAAGUUUUACAUCAUCCUGGACCAGAAGGCCAUUCCCCGCAUGGUGCAGACAGCUGUUGCAGCCUUUGAUGAACUCUUUAAGGCACACUUUGUCUUUGCUGUAUCGUAUGAUGAGGCCUUGUGCAACUUCUACACGUUCAUUUAAACAACGGUGUAUGGAAUUGAUGUGGGCACAGCCAAGGAAAGUCCAAGGGUCAAGGAAAUCCAUGUGAGAAUUCACAACACUGAGGUUUGACUCCCCCCUCCCCCCAGCAUCUUGCUCAAAUGUUCUUAUGCUGUCUUUGCAAGGUACACCACAGAAGUUGUUCAAGUUUGUUUCAGCAUCUGAAGUUUCAUCAUGGUUUGUAUCCAGGGCGUUCAUUACGGUUGAAAUGUGGCGAACCUGGAUAUUCAUCUCUUUUUUUUUUUUUUUUUAAGAAGUCUGUAAAAAACUUUAAAAACAUAACCAAAACAUUGGCCAAGAAACACCAACAUCAGUUGGCUUUUCAUUGGGAGAGUUUUUAUUUUAAAAGAUUUCAGUUUGGUCCUUUUAAUGAAGUCUCUACUUGCACUCUGGAGGGUAACAAGCUUUUAACUGAAACUUGGAAUGUACCCACUGUCUCCACUACAACCUGGGUAAAAAACUAUGGAACUGAAUACCAAGUUGGAAUGUUUGUUUGCUCUCUUCUGUUGAAAAUGAAAUGCCUGUUUUUAAUAAGAUUAGCAGUAUUAUUGUGAAAGAUGGACAAGCUUUUCUUUUGGCCGGUAAUGUAAUUACAGUGUGUUUUGAUGAGCAUGUGCAUGCAUUCUGUAUUGAGGAGGUGGGAAAUAUUUUCACUCUCAUUUGUGUGGAUGAUUUGAUGUACUAUAGACCUUAUGACAGGCAGUUUUCAUAUGACAGUGAUGAGAGAAAUUACAUUGUUCCCUGUUGUGUUUUUGUUUCAGAUUGGAAUUAACUGCAAACUGUAAAGGUUUUUAAAUGCAGUGAAAUGCUGUGUCUGAAUGUGAAUGUUAAAUGUGGUGUACCUCAAAGUUUUUGCAAUCUUUUCUGCAAAUGUCAUGCCAUUUUAAUUUUGUAGAAAGAACCAAAACGUAACAAAAGUGCUACUAUAAAUCAGUAUUUU